CAAGGCGACGAUCCCUAGCUGGUCUGAGAGGAUGACCAGCCACACUGGAACUGAGACACGGUCCAGACUCCUACGGGAGGCAGCAGUGGGGAAUAUUGCACAAUGGGCGCAAGCCUGAUGCAGCCAUGCCGCGUGUAUGAAGAAGGCCUUCGGGUUGUAAAGUACUUUCAGCGGGGAGGAAGGUGUUGUGGUUAAUAACCGCAGCAAUUGACGUUACCCGCAGAAGAAGCACCGGCUAACUCCGUGCCAGCAGCCGCGGUAAUACGGAGGGUGCAAGCGUUAAUCGGAAUUACUGGGCGUAAAGCGCACGCAGGCGGUCUGUCAAGUCGGAUGUGAAAUCCCCGGGCUCAACCUGGGAACUGCAUUCGAAACUGGCAGGCUUGAGUCUUGUAGAGGGGGGUAGAAUUCCAGGUGUAGCGGUGAAAUGC
rnacentral:rRNA from 1 species